ACGGGUGAGUAACACGUGGGUAACCUGCCUGUAAGACUGGGAUAACUCCGGGAAACCGGGGCUAAUACCGGAUGCUUGAUUGAACCGCAUGGUUCAAUUAUAAAAGGUGGCUUUUAGCUACCACUUACAGAUGGACCCGCGGCGCAUUAGCUAGUUGGUGAGGUAACGGCUCACCAAGGCAACGAUGCGUAGCCGACCUGAGAGGGUGAUCGGCCACACUGGGACUGAGACACGGCCCAGACUCCUACGGGAGGCAGCAGUAGGGAAUCUUCCGCAAUGGACGAAAGUCUGACGGAGCAACGCCGCGUGAGUGAUGAAGGUUUUCGGAUCGUAAAACUCUGUUGUUAGGGAAGAACAAGUACCGUUCGAAUAGGGCGGUACCUUGACGGUACCUAACCAGAAAGCCACGGCUAACUACGUGCCAGCAGCCGCGGUAAUACGUAGGUGGCAAGCGUUGUCCGGAAUUAUUGGGCGUAAAGCGCGCGCAGGCGGUUUCUUAAGUCUGAUGUGAAAGCCCCCGGCUCAACCGGGGAGGGUCAUUGGAAACUGGGGAACUUGAGUGCAGAAGAGGAGAGUGGAAUUCCACGUGUAGCGGUGAAAUGCGUAGAGAUGUGGAGGAACACCAGUGGCGAAGGCGACUCUCUGGUCUGUAACUGACGCUGAGGCGCGAAAGCGUGGGGAGCGAACAGGAUUAGAUACCCUGGUAGUCCACGCCGUAAAC
rnacentral:rRNA from 1 species